UUUAACUGAGCGUUCAGUUACUUGACGUAGACCCGAAACCGGGCGACCUACCCAUGAGCAGGAUGAAGCGAAAGUAAAAUUUCGUGGAGGUCCGAACCCACGAGCGUUGAAAAGCUCGGGGAUGACUUGUGGGUAGCGGUGAAAUUCCAAUCGAGCCCGGAGAUAGCUGGUUCUCCCCGAAAUAGCUUUAGGGCUAGCCUCAAGGUGAGAGAUACGGAGGUAGAGCACUGAAUGUCCUAGGGGGUAUUGCACCUACCGAAGACUAUCAAACUCCGAAUGCCGUCAUCUUAUACUUGGGAGUCAGACUGUGGGUGAUAAGAUUCAUAGUCGAAAGGGCAACAGCCCAGAUCGUCAGCUAAGGUCCCUAAAUGUAAGUUAAGUGGUAAAGGAUGUGGGAUUGCACAGACAACCAGGAUGUUGGCUUAGAAGCAGCCACUCAUUCAAAGAGUGCGUAAUAGCUCACUGGUCGAGUGAUCCUGCGCCGAAGAUUUCCGGGGCUAAAACUUACUACCGAAGCUACGGCAUCAGUAAUGAUGGGUAGGGGAGCUUCCCAUACGGGUUGAAGCAUGACCGUAAGGACAUGUGGACAGUAUGGGAGUGAGAAUGUUGGCAUGAGUAGCGAGAUGUGGGUGAGAAUCCCACAGGCCGUAAACCCAAGGUUUCCAGGGGAAGGUUCGUCCGCCCUGGGUUAGUCGGGACCUAAGCUGAGGCCGAAAGGCGUAGGUGAUGGACAACAGGUUGAUAUUCCUGUACUACCGAUAACCGUUUGAGAGAAGGGAUGACACAGUAGGAUAAGCUAAGCACACUGUUGGUUAUGUGUGCCCAAGCAUUGAGGCAGUCAAAGUAGGCAAAUCCGCUUUGAUAAUGCUGGGAUGUGAUGGGGAGCGAAAUUUAGUAGCGAAGUAGCUGAUUUCACACUGUCAAGAAAAGUCUCUAUCGAGGUUAAAGGUACCCGUACCGCAAACCGACACAGGUGGGUGAGGAGAGUAUCCUAAGGCCAGCGAGAGAACUGUUGUUAAGGAACUCGGCAAAAUGACCCCGUAACUUAGGGAUAAGGGGUGCCACC
rnacentral:rRNA from 1 species